rnacentral:rRNA from 1 species
AUGGCUCAGGACGAACGCUGGCGGCGUGCUUCAUACAUGCAAGUCGAACGAGAAGCUCACUUCGGUGAGUGGAAAGUGGCGGACGGGUGAGUAAUGUGUAGAGAACCUGCCCUAGAGUGGGGGAUAGCAGUUGGAAACGACUAUUAAUACCCCAUAUGCGCGUAGCUGAGAUGCUAUUCGUGAAAACUCCGGUGCUCUGGGAUGAGUCUGCAUCUGAUUAGCUAGUAGGCGGUGUAAUGGACCACCUAGGCGACGAUCAGUAGCUGGUUUGAGAGGAUGAUCAGCCACAAUGGGACUGAGACACGGCCCAUACUCCUACGGGAGGCAGCAGUAGGGAAUUUUGCGCAAUGGGGGGAAAAACCCCCCGACGCAGCAACGCCGCGUGAAUGAAGAAGCCCUUCGGGGUGUAAAGUUCUGUCAGUGGGGACGAAACUUGACGGUACCCACAGAGGAAGCAUCGGCUAACUCCGUGCCAGCCGCCGC